GGGCGGGGCCUGUCCGCGCGCGCCACCUGAGGAGAGCGGCUGCGGCGGGCGGGGUCGUGAGUUCGUGGCGCGGGAGCCUCUCCUGAGCGAAGGGCCCGUGGGAGGCUCUGCAACUCCUCAGGGCAGCGGUGGGCGGCUAGCUGCAGGCACGCACCUCGCCUUCACCGGGCUCCGCUCAGCUUGUGGUGCGUGUGCAGCUUCCAUCCCUCGUCUUGGCUGUGGAAAGGCCUCCCCUGCCUUCGUGACUCAGUGGAAUGGUGCUUUGUUACCAGUAAAGAAGAACUGGCCACAGGCCAUCUUGGACACGUUGUGGAGAAUAAAAGAACAUUGGAGUGGCCCUUUUCUUUCUAUCCUGCUGUGAACCUCUUCAUAUAUAAGUUGAAAUUGAAUGUGCGGUUACAGACAAUACAGUUGAUGACAGAGGUCCUUGUUUUGAAAGGAAGAAAAUCUCUGAAGAAGCUGAAGUGAGGGAGGAUGAACGAUUUUCUGAACUUCUGCAUAUUCAGUUACUGGUAUGUAAUUCUUCUGAGAAUUUCUUGGAUAUAUACCUACUUGUGGAUCUUUAACUCCAGAUGCUAAUUGA
rnacentral:lncRNA from 1 species